rnacentral:rRNA from 1 species
CUAACAAGGAUUCCCCUAGUAACGGCGAGUGAAGAGGGAAGAGCCCAAGAUUGAAAGCUGGCGUCUUCGGCGUCCGCAUUGUAAUCUCAAGAAGUGUUUUCUGCUUCGGACCAAGCCUAAGUCUCCUGGAAAGGAGCAUCGUAGAGGGUGAAAAUCCCGUACAUGGUUUGGAGCGCCCGAAGCUUUGUGAUACACUUUCUAAGAGUCGAGUUGUUUGGGAAUGCAGCUCAAAAUGGGUGGUAAAUGCCAUCUAAGGCUAAAUAUUGGGGAGAGACCGAUAGCGAACAAGUACAGUGAUGGAAAGAUGAAAAGAACUUUGAAAAGAGAGUUAAAUAGUACGUGAAAUUGCCAAAAGGGAAGGGUAGGAGGUCAGAGAUGCGGUCUGGGAUUCAGUCUGGCAAUGAAUUUUGGCAGAUGUAUUUCCCAGAUUUUGCAGGCCAACGUCGGUUUUGGGCACUGGAGAAGGGUAAGAGGAAUGUGGCACUCUUCGCGGAGUGUGUUAUAGCCUCUUACUGGAUGCAGCGACCGAGACCGAGGAACGCAGCGUACUCGAAAGAGCGGGCCCCUCGGGGCACCUUUACGCUUAGGACGUUGGCAUAAUGGCCUUCUACCACCCGUCUUGAAACACGGACCAAGGAGUCUAACAUGUAUGCGAGUUUUUGGGUGGCAAACCCAUUGGCGUAAUGAAAGUGAAUUCAGGUGGGAUCCGCAAGGUGCACCAUCGACCGAUCCUCACGUCUUUUUCCAAGUCGUGGAUUUGAGUAAGAGCAUACCUGUUGGGACCCGAAAGAUGGUGAACUAUGCCUGAAUAGGGUGAAGCCAGAGGAAACUCUGGUGGAGGCUCGUAGCGGUUCUGACGUGCAAAUCGAUCGUCAAAUUUGGGUAUAGGGGCGAAAGACUAAUCGAA